AAUCCGUCGACGUUCAAAGUCGUGAGGGUUCAAGUCCCUCUAUCCCCA
rnacentral:tRNA from 4 species